rnacentral:rRNA from 1 species
GACAGAGCGCGCGGGCGUAUUCGUUUUGAUUGGGUGUAAAGGGUACGUAGGCAGCUGUUGAAAUUCUUGGCCGAAAUUGCGGAGUGUUCCUACGCGUUGGCCUUUUAAAGAUUCAGCUAGAAUUGAGAGUGGGUUGGGGCAAUUUUGUGUGUAGGGGUAAAAUCCUGCCAUACAUGAAAGAACACCGGCAGGCGGAGGCGCCUUUCUAGCUUCAAUUGACGCUAAGGUACGGAAGCCUAGGUAGCAAACAGA